ACGAAGGGUGCAAGCGUUACUCGGAAUUACUGGGCGUAAAGCGUGCGUAGGUGGUUUGUUAAGUCUGAUGUGAAAGCCCUGGGCUCAACCUGGGAAUGGCACUGGAUACUGGCAAGCUGGAGUACGGUAGAGGAAGGUGGAAUUCCCGGUGUAGCAGUGAAAUGCGUAGAGAUCGGGAGGAACACCAGUGGCGAAGGCGGCCUUCUGGACCAGUACUGACGCUCAUGCACGAAAGCGUGGGGAGCAAACAGGA
rnacentral:rRNA from 1 species